AGCCCGCCGGGCUAGCGUUAGCCCUGCCAGCCCGGCGGCUAGCGGGGCUAACGCUAGCCCGGCGGCUAGCAUCCUUCGGAUUGGAAUGUUUCACCGCACUCAAUGUUUUAUGGACCAAACAGCGUUGCUGCAACACGUUGUUGCUUCAGACUGAACACGGACGGCUGUGUGACCGACGAGGACGUUUUCCUGCAGCUUCCUCUGAGGUUUCACCUCAGAUCCAAUAAGAGGGAGAGUCACAGCUGUGUGUUGGGCUCCAUUUGUUCAGCGGCCAGAAGACGAUCCAUCACGCGACGACCGCCGGUCACAUGACAGCAGCCAGACGACCACGGAGGGACGAGACCAAAGAACUACAGACUCUUCACAACCUACUCAAACUCUUGGUACAGGACCUCACCACACGGGUCAAGAAGGUUUCCUUCUCCUCAUUUCUACUCUGAAGCUCACCUUCUCCUGCUCAAACUGCUGACAAAUGUUUGUGCUGCUCUGAAGUCUGGUCUCCAGAACUUCCUAAAAACUCUCAAAGUCUCUUCUGCUGCAGGUUGCUUUGUAGAACUGUUCCAGAAAACCUCACUAAACCACAUGGAGGGGCCUCAAGAUAGUCGUCCAAAUGAAACCAUACAAAAACCAAACUAACACAACCCAAACACUAAAGUCUCCUGCAGCCUACCAGAGAAGCUCUGAGAACAGAGAAUCAGGACAGGAACUCUUACCUUCUGGACAACCAACGCUGGUUCUCAAACAAGAACACAGAAUGUGUCUGACCAAAAACCUCUAAAGACUCACUACAGCCAAGAUAAAGACACAACUCAGCUGCAGCAAAUCCAUUAAUCACUGCACACAUUAGCACCAUGUGCCAACUGUGGCUAAAGAGCCACAUUUACCAAGACAACUAUCCAGUACAAAGCCCUAAAACACACCAAGAAACACAUUAAAGACGAUUUUACUGCUGGAAGCUGGAAGCCAACGCCUAAAGAACAAACUAAAGCAAUGGAGCCAAACCUGGUUCACUGGUGAAGAGAAACAGAGGAAAUGUUUGGCUGCAGCUAAAUAAACGAGGAAAACACUGAGCUGCUCAGGUGUUCCUGAUAACACCAAGCAAACACCUGGACAGCCAAUAGGAACACAGCUUACUGGAAGUCCAGAGGGCUGGCUUAGUGAAGGAAAUUUAAUUUAAAGUUGAAGCAGAAAGUUAACAAAGAAAGUUGAAAACCACCUUCUGAUACCUGAAAUCUCUGAGUUUUCACACAAAGAACACCUGAAGAUGUCAAACUGGUUCCAUAGUAGAACCCUCAUUGUAAAAACAUCAUAGUAUGGUGUGUUGCUCAAAAACAUUACAACCUGGCUGUGUAGGGUCGCCGAGGAGCAACACAAAAACAGGACAAACGCUGGUUUCCAGGGGGUUAGGAGGCUAUUUAUUUGAAAGAGGAAGUUUACAACAACACAACAUGUGAGCAGAAAAAUCACAAAGUCUGUCUUUAGUUCAGCUGAAAAUAUUAGUUUUUGUCUUUUUUAUUGACCAAACUUUUCAGGAAGUAGAUGAAGAAUAAUUAAAGCUCUCAUGUAGAAGUCCAACUUAUUUUGGAUCCUUGUGGAGAGUUUAAUCUUAGAGUUUGUAAAGCUGUUGAGUUCUUAGAGUCACAUGGAUUGUUUUGACAUUUAAUAACCGAGUCCUGAAAUCAAAUUGUUACAGUUGUGGAUUUCUGUCAUUUAGUCUGGACUAAACAAAUAACAGCAGCAUUAAUCUCAAACGUCAUUAUGAGGAGUCUGGAUUGAAGUUUCUCACUUGAUAAUGAUCAAAACAUGAAAUUUAGGUUUAAAGGAAUAUUCCACCUUAAAUCUUUGAAUGUUGACCUACAAGGUUGGUUUCAGGAAGUAUUCCACCUACAAGGUCCUCACACAUCCACCUUAAAGGAACAUUCCACCAAAAAUCCUUAGACAUGCACCUAAAAUGUUGGUUUAAUUGAGUAUUCCAUCCAAAAUCCUCAAAGAGACCUGAGGGGCUGGUUAAAAGAAAUAUUCCACCUAAAACCUCAAAUAUAGACCCGGAAGGGUGGUUUAGAGAAAAUCCUUCAACGUAGUCCAAAAAAGUUAGUAUGGAGGAAUAUUCCACCUGAAAUGUAGACCUUAGAAGUUGGUUUGGAAGAAUAUACCAUCCUAAACAUCCUUAAAUGUAGACUAAAAGACGGUUUGGAAGAAAAUUCCAUCUAAAAUCCUCCAAUGUAGACCUAAAAGGUGAGUUUAAUGGUAUAUUCCCCCUAAAAUGCACUACUGUAGACCUUGGAGGUUGGUCUGAUGGUAUAUUCCACCCAACAUCCUGGAACAUUAACUUAAAAAGUUUGUUCAAAGGAAUAUUCAACCUAAAGUCCUUCGAUGUAGACCAAAAAAAUCUUGGUGUUAAGGAGUAUUCCACCUUAAAUGUAGACCCAAAGGAUGGUUUGGAGUAAUAUUCUACUCUAAAAUCUUCCAAUGUAGACCUAAAAGGUUUAUCUGAUGGUAUAUUCUACCCAACAUCCUGGAAUAUUUACCUAAAAUGUUGGUUUAAUGGUAUAUUCCCAGAAAAACCCUUGAACAUUAGGCUUAAUGGUAUAUUCCACCCAAAAUACUUGUACAUAUACCAAGAAGUCAGUGUAAAGGAAACGUAGACCUAAAAGGAUUGUUUAAAGGAAUAUUUAAAGGAUUAUUUUCAUUAUUUAAUAAUCUGUUAUCAGUCAGAACCCUGGCAAACUUAUUUUCUUCAGUUUUUUUAGUGGAAGUCACAAAUAAAGGAGCUCUUGGUUUUUCCCGGCGUUACUGAGUCCAAAGCUGCUGUUUCAACACAGAACGUUCACAUGGAUCCACAAACCUCUCAGCACUCAAACACCCACAGACAGGAGGCCGGCUGGGCCGAGGCUCGGCGGCGUCCUCAGACCCACAAGUCGGGGAGUCGCUGAACUUGUUGGUCCGGUUUGAAGGCCUCCGUGUGGUCCAGUAGAAGUCCACGUAGUCGGUGUUGGCUUUGAACCACAGUGACUGGCCGCCAUCAGGUGGACCGGCUCGUCCUCGUAGGACUCCUCCUGUAGCCUUGAGGGAACCACAGGAACAUUCAGUAGCUGUUGGAGUUCUUCCUGUCAGGCUCGUGGUAGAACGGCUCUGAAGAAUCUUGUACUUGUCUUAUCUGGAACAAUCUAACAGCCUAAACUGUUAACAGCAGUGUAAAGAAGCAAACACAGGCAUAGAUUAGGACUCAAACUAGAUUUAUUUUAGAAAACAAAUCAACUUAGAGGCAUUUGUUCACACACGUGGCUGAAUAGGAGGCCGUCCAAUCAGAUUCGAGGUCUUCACUCUGUAGGUUGUUUGUUCAGUGAGACUCUUGGACCUCCAUCAGCUGAUAUGGAUGUUUGAUGGUCUUCUUCUCUAGUACCAGAUGAUUCAUCCAUGAAUUCAGCAGCUACAGACUGAAAUGAAGCUCAUGCUGCCGUUAUUGAAUUCCUGUUCCAGAUCAAAUGUUCAGAUCUCACCUUGAAUGCAGCCGUCUGCUGUCUGAUAGCUUUUCUCAUUGUAGUCUUCAAUAAAGUCUUUUUCCUCAUGU